ACAAACUAAAAUACUGGUAUUAACAAUGAAGCAAGUUUUAAGCUGAGUUGGUAAACUUGUAAAGUGCCAAACACACAGCUUUGUUUAAAUUCGGAUUCCAGCAACCCCCCCAAAAAAAGAAAAGUGAUAAAUCAACAUUUAAAGUGUACCCCUUUCAGUUUAAUAAACGUCUUAUUGAAUUAACCCUACGGACUGUGAGGUAAAUAUGUUGAGGUGUGCGAGUAAUUAGGGGUUGAGAACAGCACUGGGGUUGAGAACCCCUUUGAAGAGCAGAAUGUUACAGCUGGUUUUGCUAGAAUUACACUGCUGCGAUUCUGAACAAGACUCCAAGAACCGGAGCGAACUCCUUCAUUACGGACAAGUUUGUGAAGUCAGGUCAAGGGUUCGAACCGCAAUCUAGACAGCUGUUAGCAGUCAAACAGGCUCCUGAUCUGAACUUGGUGGAGAGGCUCAGAAGGUCAGGAGGUUCAAAAGCUGUGAUCACAUUUUCAAUGCGAUGGCUGAAGGUGGAGCUGACAGGAUUGAAAGGUCCAUUCUGGCCACAGGUUGAGGAGGCAGAGAGCCGACUGUUGCGACCCACAAGCAAGUCUCCAAGAGGUGGAUAGCAUGAGCCAAUAUCGCAAUCGUCUUGAGAGUAAGCAAAGCUUAUCAACACUGUAACAGAG